AAUUAGAUAAGCUAAUUUAAGCUAGUGGGUUCAUACCCCAAACAUGAGAAUCUCUCUCUAAUUA
rnacentral:tRNA from 1 species